UACGUAGGGGGCAAGCGUUGUCCGGAAUUAUUGGGCGUAAAGAGCGCGUAGGCGGUCCGAUAAGUCGACUGUGAAAGUCUAGGGCUCAACCCUGGAAAGCCGGUCGAUACUGUCGGACUAGAGUCCGGAAGAGGCAAGUGGAAUUCCCCGGUGUAGCGGUGAAAUGCGCAGAUAUCGGGGAGGAACACCAAUGGCGAAGGCAGCUCGCUGGGACGGUACUGAUGCUGAGACGCGAAAGCGUGGGGAGCAAACAGG
rnacentral:rRNA from 1 species